GUGAGGAAUUUUCCGCAAUGGGCGAAAGCCUGACGGAGCAAUGCCGCGUGAAUGAUGAAGGCCUAUGGGUUGUAAACUUCUUUUCUCAGAAAAGAAUUAUGACGGUAUCUGAGGAAUAAGCAUCGGCUAACUCUGUGCCAGCAGCCGCGGUAAGACAGAGGAUGCAAGCGUUAUCCGGAAUGAUUGGGCGUAAAGCGUCUGUAGGUUGUUUAAAAAGUAUUCUGUCAAAGAUUAGGGCUUAACCCUAGAUAGGCAGAAUAAACUUUUAAGCUAGAGUUUGGUAGAGGCAGAGGGAAUUCCCGGUGGAGCGGUGAAAUGCGUAGAUAUCGGGAGGAACACCAAAGGCGAAGGCACUCUGCUGGGCCAAUACUAACACUGAGAGACGAAAGCGAGGGGAGCAAAUGGGAUUAGAUACCCCGGUAGUCC
rnacentral:rRNA from 1 species